rnacentral:rRNA from 1 species
CAUCAGACGCAAUCUGCCGCAAAAAUGUUGCGGAAACGCAUUAUUGGAUACCUUGUGCGAAACGCCAAGCUAAUACAUGAACUAAGGGGUUCAUCCCGUUCCACACGCUGGAGGUUUACUGAAGGCGUGGUGGGUGGCCCUGCGGAUGAAUGAAAGUACAAACCAAUGCCUCGCAAGGGGCAGUAAUACGGAGAAGUGCUGAAUCAAUUCAUCUUUGCGAAAGCCGGCUUGCCGGCGUAUUUUGACGAACAACUGCCCUAUCAGCCAUGAUGGCCGUGUAGUGGACUGCCAUGGCGUUGACGGGAGCGGGGGAUUAGGGUUCGAUUCCGGAGAGGGAGCCUGAGAAAUGGCUACCACUUCUACGGAGGGCAGCAGGCGCGCAAAUUGCCCAAUGCCAAAACAAAUGAUGAGGCAGCGAAAAGAAAUAGGUGCCCCAAACGCCUUGUGUGUUUGGGGCUUUCAAUGGGGGAUAUUUAAAACCAUCCAACAUCGAGUAACAAUUGGAGGACAAGUCUGGUGCCAGCACCCGCGGUAAUUCCAGCUCCAAGAGCGUAUAUUAACGCUGUUGCUGUUAAAGGGUUCGUAGUUGAACUGUGGGCCGCGACGACGGG